rnacentral:misc_RNA from 1 species
GGAAAUUAUUAUCCUGUAUGUUUCUUCAAUAAAAUUCAUGAUUUAUUCAUUUAUUCUUCAUCUUUAUGCUUUAUUAUAUUGUGUUGUAGCUGGUUAUCCAGCAUCCUUAUGUCUAGGACUAUAUCUUUUCUCCACAAUCUGAAUUUCAAAUGUGACUCUGUUUUGUUGGUCAAUGCAAACUAUUUUAUUAUAUCUUUGUGGGUCAGUGUUAUAACAGUUCAAUAGCAAGUAGAGGUUAGUGACUGAAACUUAUUAAUGCAAAGUUAUUAUUUAAAUAUGUGUAGUUUCUCACAUCCAUGUCCAACAAUUUCUUCUAUGGAAGGUAGGCGCAUUUCAAAAUUUGGCUUUUAUUUGCCUAAUCCAGAAAUCCAUGAUGGAAUAGCUGCUUUCUCUUCUUCCCCCCCUUUUUUUUUCUGGGUCCAUUAGAUGAACUACAUAGCUAGGGAUAGCUCUGCCCUUCCCAUAACCUCUCCUAUCUAAUACCAAAGGGAUUUUCUCUUGAGAUGCAAUAAUUUUUUUAAUGAAAAAUAAUGGGAAUGUCAUUUGGCUUUUAUUGUUGACAGUUUAUGUAGUUUUGUUUCUUGAUGUUAGGGGGGAAUGCCUUGAGGCUAAGUUUCUGUCCUUUAUCUAGUAUGUUUACAAGCUCUUGAGUUGUUGCGGCUGUUUUCUGCCCUAACAAAGACAUUAUUUGGAGGGGGAAAAAACUAAUUUAGCUCUUAAACUGGUUAAGCAAACUAGCAUUUUACCUAGUAUGUUAAGCCAGUCUGCCUCCUUGGCUGUAAAGAAAGACUUGUGUCAAUUGUGGUGGGCUUCCUUUUGAAAGAAUCCAUAAUUUCUUAACAUGUCUAUUUUCACUUAGAUUUGUAUUAAGCAUAUAUUCUAUAUUCUUCUUUUUUAGUUUUUUCAGG